AGAAGCGAGGGAUGGGUGGAGGUAAAGUUUCUUAUGGAGGAGCGUUACUGCUGAGGACGGAGAGAAGGACAGACAACAACAAACAGUGUGUUUGUGUUGACAGACGAGACAAAGAUGAAGACGAAGGAAGUGAAAGAGAAAGGAAAGGCAAACGUCCUGUUGCCUCCACGCCCGUCCCAGGGUCGCCAUGGUGUGUGGUGUGGACUGGAGACGACCGGGUUUUCUUCUUCAAUCCCACAAUCCACCUGUCUGUCUGGGAGAGACCAGGGGAACUGAUUGGGCGAGACAUCAGCCGUAUCAUC